rnacentral:lncRNA from 1 species
GCCACUCCCCACCCACCCAUACACACCUGCGUGUGUGCGCGCGUGUACACCGAAGUGAUGGAUCCGUGGCCAGCGCCCAGAACUAACUCUCCUCUUCUGAAGGUUGGAGCAUAUCAUUAUGUCUCCUAGAAGGGUAGGAAAAGGUUUGUCAGUUUGAUGUCAAAGCUGCAGCAAGAACAAUCAAGAGGCAGAAUUCCUGGGCCCAAGGCCCCUGUUGGUUGGCCUGGGACAGAGAGACCAGCUGGAACUGACAAUGGAUCCUUCUCUGCACAUUCUCGUUCCUGUUUCUUAAGUGAAAACCUGAAAUUACUAUCUGCUGACAAGGAUAAAGAAUUGUUUGGGUGGAAAAGAAGUUUUCAAUGCUUUAGAUUGUUGAGGCGGAGAAGAUAUGCAAUAAAGAUAAAUUCAUUGAACACUGAAUUCCAGAAAACUCAAAAACAAAUAUAUUCACUCUGGAGAAUACAGGAUAGAGCAAGACAGACAAUUAUGGAUUUAACACUAUUUCUCCACGUUGUCUAGCUGCGGAAACUAGGAAAAUGAUUAAGAAAAAUAGUUGCUUCAACCACAGACUCGUAAUCCUAGCUUACUGAACUAGUAAAAUUAGAUUAUAGAAAACCUAAAAUUCAUUUUUAAAGAAACGAUUAC